rnacentral:lncRNA from 1 species
UCUAACCUAUUUUAGACAUCCACUUGUGAUGAAAACUUUUCUCACUAUGCCUCUUCAUGUACUAGAGAAGCACAAAGAUCACUAAUUUUUUUUCUUCCUAUGCUAGUAAUUAAUAGAUAAAUUGAGUAAGUUAAUAGUACUGGUAUUUCUAGUUAAGCCACCAUAGAUGACUUAACUCUUCCCUCUUUGCCCUCUUUGCCCUCACACAAAGUGAAUGACAUGAACUUUACUUUUUUCCAAAAUGAUCAUUGCUCAGGUUUUCAAACGCUGUCACAAGGACCAAGGGAUAGAACCUGAUUUUAAGGUAGAUGGAAAUUCAAGCACUCAGGUGCUAGAGUGAUUAUUUUCAGCCAACAGUUUAUAAUUCAGAAUUCUUUCUUCUUGUGUGCUUAUACUUUCAGUUUUCCAGGCAUUAGAACUCAUUUGCUUUAAAACUUGCCACUUGAUUCUAAGAACUGCUCUCUGCAGAAAAUUGAGAAAUGGCUGGCAAUCCAGGCUAGUUCAGCUGAGGAAUUAUUAACUCACAUCUCAAUUAGUCACUUGUUAACAAGCUGUCCUUUCCUCUCAGCACAAUUAACAGAAAUGAUUAGUUUCUAUCAGCUGUGACCAUAUUUCCCAACAUAUGUGAAAGAUACACAUUUACUUAAAAGGACACUCAGCAAUAUGGAAAUGAGUUUUGUGGCUGAUCAAGUGAAGACGUUUUUUUCCUGGAACAUGUGAAAAAGACAACCUCUCAUCACCAAACAUUGUAUUUCUACUGAUGGAAAGAAACCAAUUGAUCUACAGGGGAAUCACGGAGCAUAUCAAUCAGUCUUUGCAUGGAAGACUUCCCCUAACAUGGAAAACUAUCCUCUCCUACUUCAGACCUGCACAGUGACUUCUUUUUUACAUUAACUCCUCCACUGCUGUGUAUCCAGAAGGAAGAUCAUAGGAUCAUAGAAUCACAGAAAUUGUUUGACCUGGGAGGUAACAUUAAAGACCAUCUACUCCAACUCCCCUGCAAUGAACAGGGACACCUACAGCUACACCAGGGUGCUCAGAGC